CUGAUGUCUUCUUCUCUCAACAGGUGGAGGUGGACUUAGUGAAGCUGAGUGUGAAGAGGACAGUGUGUGUGGACGGAGGCUGAGCUGUGUCCUGAGGAUCCAGAGGCUGAAGCAGCAGCAGCUUGUGUGUAGAGCGGCUCUGACUGGGCCUUGUUGCUGGGAGGCAGAGUGGAGACAGAGCUCCAGAGGAAUCAGAGGAGAUUUCAGAAGUCGUGCACAAAUACAGACGAAAUGAACGAGUGUGAUCAGAAGGCUUCGUCCAUUUCUGUGUCUGACGGUGUGGACCCUGAUCUGUGGUCAGAUGUUCAUCAGCCUCGGCUUCAAAACUCACUCUCUCCCCUGGACUCAGGGAAACAUCGACGACCACGAUGGAGCAAACGUGAAGCCGAUGAUCCAUCGACAGCACGAAGACAAAAACCUGCGUCAACUUUAACGUCAUCCUUUGUUUGAAAGAGAUCAAAGCCAAGACUGGAAGUUAGGUUUCUGACCUGCAGCAGAUACGCAAACAUACAACACAUGUGAUGCCAGGAAUCUCUGUUUGUUGUCAUGCAAAAGGUCCUUACUGCUGUCGCACCGCAUCACAACACAUCAUAUCACAUGACAUAGCAUAGUUGGCAUUGUAUUGUAUCGUAUCGCAUCGUCUUUUGUGUCUUCCCCGUGUGAGAGAAUCCAACGGUUGUGUUGAUAUUCACUGAAUUUGUUGUGAAAAUUUAAGAUGCUGCUGUGACUGAACUUUUAACCAGAGGUGAACUGUGCCCCUCUCGAUGCUAGGUCUUCAAUGCUAAGCUAAGCUAACCAUCCUUCUCACUUUCAGAAAGAAAGAAAGAGAAAGUAAUUUUUCCUUCACUCUCUAGGAUGUAAAACACGACGGAUCCAGUAAUGCAGUCCACUAAAUCGACUUUUGUGUCAGUAAGCCAAUCAGAGGCCGAGUAGGGCGGGUCAUAUCUGUGUUGGUCUCCCUGGUGAAAGAUAUCACCGUCCCUUUGCCUGAUCUCCCGAUUAGCAGAAUCCAGCUCUGCCU